UGGGAGUGUAAGGACAUUGUCCUCUUUUGGGAAACGAUAAAAAUGUACAUAACAAUAAUAUUGGGAGACCAGGCCGACUGGUCAGCUGAUCGGGCCCUUUUGCACAUUUCAUCCAGACCAAUCUCACUAUACAAAAAAUCGAUCCUCCGUCAUUUACUGAAUGCAACCAAGCUCCUUAUCCUGAAGUACUGGAGAUGGUCAGAGGUCCCCAGGAGAGAUGAGUGGACCCAUAGGGUCAAGUACAUUCAGACAGCGUAAGCACUCUAUGCUACACUGUUGGGAAGGGGGGCUAGACACAUGGAGACAUG